AACGAACGCUGGCGGCAUGCCUAACACAUGCAAGUCGAACGAGAUCUUCGGGUCUAGUGGCGCACGGGUGCGUAACGCGUGGGAAUCUGCCCUUUGGUUCGGAAUAACAGUUGGAAACGACUGCUAAUACCGGAUGAUGACGAAAGUCCAAAGAUUUAUCGCCAGAGGAUGAGCCCGCGUAGGAUUAGCUAGUUGGUGUGGUAAAGGCGCACCAAGGCGACGAUCCUUAGCUGGUCUGAGAGGAUGAUCAGCCACGCUGGGACUGAGACACGACCCAGACUCCGACGGGAGGCAGCAGUGGGGAAUAUUGGACAAUGGGCGAAAGCCUGAUCCAGCAAUGCCGCGUGAGUGAUGAAGGCCUUAGGGUUGUAAAGCUCUUUUACCCGGGAUGAUAAUGACAGUACCGGGAGAAUAAGCUCCGGCUAACUCCGUGCCAGCCGCCGCCGUAAAAC
rnacentral:rRNA from 1 species